rnacentral:tRNA from 1 species
AUUUAAAUAGUUUAAUAAAAAUAUAAAUUUGUGGAGUUUAAGAUAUUUGAAAUAAUUUUAAAUA